rnacentral:rRNA from 1 species
CCGCAGCCCUAGUGGUGAUCGCUAUUAUUGAGCCUAAAGCGUCCGUAGCCGGCUUGAUAAAUCCUUGGGUAAAUCGGGCAGCUCAACUGUCCGAAGUCCGAGGUGACUGUCAAGCUUGGAACCGGAAGAGGUCAGAGGUACUCCAGGGGUAGGGGCUAAAUCCUGUAAUCCUUGGGGGACCACCAGUGGCGAAGGCGUCUGACUAGAACGGAUCCGACGGUAAGGGACGAAACCCUGGGGCGCAAACCGGAUUAGAUACCCGAGUAGUCC